CCCAGACUGAUGGUUGUCUUAGUCUGAACAAUAAACCUUCAAGAUGAGGAGUGCAAUGAAGAGGCUGGAAUAAGCUGUACAUGUCAUGGCACAAUAUUGGAGAUGGCAAGGAAAUGGCAUAAAAGAUCUGUCUUGUCAAGAUAAUUGAAAUGGUCAUUAAUAAAAAGCUCUUGUUGCAUCUGA